GCCAAGGAUGAGAAAAAUCACACAGAGAAAAGGUACAGCCAGCAGGAUAUGGUGACUCAGGGGUUCUUGGGCUGUGAUCUAAAGGACAAAAGCAAAGUUGGAGGGUGAGAAAGAAAAAGUGCACAGAGUGUAACCAGGAAGACAGACAAAUGCCAACUAUGAAUAAAGAAGACGCUUGAGGGGGGCUCUUGUCUAGAACCCGUUACUCAUAGACAAUUGUUAUUUAAAACGUAUUAGCUAUCAUAAAUGUUCCCGGAAGUAGUCAUUAAAUUACAAAAUAUCUGAAUUUCUAAAAUUAUAUUUGAUUUUCAGGUAUCUUGAGUAUUAUAACAAGAA